GGACAGACAGGUCAGUACGCCUCCUGUGGGACAGACAGGUCAGUACGCCUCCUGUGGGACAGACAGGUGGGACAGACAGGUCAGUACGCCUCCUGUGGGACAGACAGAUGAGACAGACAGGUCAGUAGGCCUCCUGUGGGACAGACAGGUGGGACAGACGGGUCAGUACGCCUCCUGUGGGACAGACAGGUGGGACAGACAGGUCAGUACGCCUCCUGUGGGACAGACAGGUGGGACAGACAGGUCAGUACGCCUCCUGUGGGACAGACAGGUGGGACAGACAGGUCAGUACGCCUCCUGUGGGACAGACAGGUGGGACAGACGGGUCAGUAGGCCUCCUGUGGGACAGACAGGUGGGACAGACGGGUCAGUACGCCUCCUGUGGGAAAGACAGGUGGGACAGACAGGUCAGUACGCCUCCUGUGGGACAGACAGGUCAGUACGCCUCCUGUGGGACAGACAGGUGAGACAGACAGGUCAGUACGCCUCCUGUGGGACAGACAGGUGGGACAGACGGGUCGUAGAUGUUGUGUAUUAGUUUGACGCUCAACAAAAACGUUGAUUAUUAACGGAUUAAAC